rnacentral:rRNA from 1 species
GACGAACGCUGGCGGCGUGCUUAACACAUGCAAGUCGAACGGAAAGGCCCUGCUUUUGUGGGGUGCUCGAGUGGCGAACGGGUGAGUAACACGUGAGUAACCUGCCCUUGACUUUGGGAUAACUUCAGGAAACUGGGGCUAAUACCGGAUAGGAGCUCCUGCUGCAUGGUGGGGGUUGGAAAGUUUCGGCGGUUGGGGAUGGACUCGCGGCUUAUCAGCUUGUUGGUGGGGUAGUGGCUUACCAAGGCUUUGACGGGUAGCCGGCCUGAGAGGGUGACCGGCCACAUUGGGACUGAGAUACGGCCCAGACUCCUACGGGAGGCAGCAGUGGGGAAUAUUGCACAAUGGGCGGAAGCCUGAUGCAGCAACGCCGCGUGCGGGAUGACGGCCUUCGGGUUGUAAACCGCUUUCGCCUGUGACGAAGCGUGAGUGACGGUAAUGGGUAAAGAAGCACCGGCUAACUACGUGCCAGCAGCCGCGGUGAUACGUAGGGUGCGAGCGUUGUCCGGAUUUAUUGGGCGUAAAGGGCUCGUAGGUGGUUGAUCGCGUCGGAAGUGUAAUCUUGGGGCUUAACCCUGAGCGUGCUUUCGAUACGGGUUGACUUGAGGAAGGUAGGGGAGAAUGGAAUUCCUGGUGGAGCGGUGGAAUGCGCAGAUAUCAGGAGGAACACCAGUGGCGAAGGCGGUUCUCUGGGCCUUUCCUGACGCUGAGGAGCGAAAGCGUGGGGAGCGAACAGGCUUAGAUACCCUGGUAGUCCACGCUGUAAACGGUGGGUACUAGGUGUGGGGUCCAUUCCACGGGUUCCGUGCCGUAGCUAACGCUUUAAGUACCCCGCCUGGGGAGUACGGCCGCAAGGCUAAAACUCAAAGGAAUUGACGGGGCCCCGCACAAGCGGCGGAGCAUGCGGAUUAAUUCGAUGCAACGCGUAGAACCUUACCUGGGUUUGACAUGGAUCGGGAGUGCUCAGAGAUGGGUGUGCCUCUUUUGGGGUCGGUUCACAGGUGGUGCAUGGCUGUCGUCAGCUCGUGUCGUGAGAUGUUGGGUUAAGUCCCGCAACGAACGCAACCCUUGUUCACUGUUGCCAGCACGUUAUGGUGGGGACUCAGUGGAGACCGCCGGGGUCAACUCGGAGGAAGGUGGGGAUGACGUCAAGUCAUCAUGCCCCUUAUGUCCAGGGCUUCACGCAUGCUACAAUGGCUGGUACAGAGAGUGGCGAGCCUGUGAGGGUGAGCGAAUCUCGGAAAGCCGGUCUCAGUUCGGAUUGGGGUCUGCAACUCGACCUCAUGAAGUCGGAGUCGCUAGUAAUCGCAGAUCAGCAACGCUGCGGUGAAUACGUUCCCGGGGCU